UACGUAGGGGGCAAGCGUUGUCCGGAUUUAUUGGGCGUAAAGAGCGUGUAGGCGGCCUGAAAGGUCAGCUGUGAAAACUCGAGGCUCAACCUCGAGACGUCGGUUGAAACCAUCUGGCUAGAGUCCGGAAGAGGAGUGUGGGAAUUCCCGGUGUAGCGGUGAAAUGCGCAGAUAUCGGGAAGAACACCCGUGGCGAAGGCGGCACUCUGGGACGGUACUGACGCUGAGACGCGAAAGCGUGGGGAGCGAACAGG
rnacentral:rRNA from 1 species